UUCGAGCUGAACUGUGAGAAAUUUGCCAUGGAGCUACGCUAUGGAAUUUCCUAUCAUGCUCAGGAGAAGGAUCCCUUUGAGGUGCUGGUAGAUAGUGGUGGUGUGUGAAUCAGCGAUGUUCGAGGGACUACUACGCGGGAAAUGGAAAGAGGGGACUCUCAGCCGACUCAAGCCCAGACCACUGUUGGGCAGCAGGAAUUUCCCCGCAAGUCUAUGCCGCCCGUGCUGCCCCUUCCUGCUGGUGGACAGAGAUUUAAUAAAGGG